AGCGAACGCUGGCGGCAGGCCUAACACAUGCAAGUCGAACGAGUGUCGGACGGGUGAGUAACACGUGGGAAGGUGACUUUAGGUUCGGAAUAACUCAGGGAAACUUGUGCCAAUACCAUUUAAAGCGGCCCGCGUCUGAUUAGCUAGUUGGUGAGGUAAAGGCUCACCAAGGCGACGCUCCCUAGCUGGUCUGAGAGGAUGACCAGACACACUGGAACUGAGACACGGUCCAGACUCCUACGGGAGGCAGCAGUGGGGAAUAUUGCACAAGGGGCGCAAGCCUGAUGCAGCCAUGCCGCGUGUAUGAAGAAGGCCUGCGGAUUGUAAAGUACUUUCAGCGGGGAGGCGUUACCCGCAGAAGAAGCACCGGCUAACUCCGUGCCAGCAGCCGCGGUAAUUC
rnacentral:rRNA from 1 species